AUGGACCGCGUCGUUCUGGACGGCCUUCUGGUUCGCGGGGGGCUACUGUUGGUCGGCGCGGUGGCUCGGCAGGUGGUGCUGCUCCUGCUGUUUUGCCGGAUCGGUCUGCUUCAUCUUGUCAUUCUCGCCCGUCUUCUCAGGUUGGUCACUUGGGGCGGGGUUCGACUUCUCCGCGGGUUGGUCGCUCUGGGCGGGGUUCGAUUUCUUCCCAUGUUUGUUUUGUGCGAUCUCCUGCUUCGGUGGAUCUUGCGGCGCAAUCUGGUGGUGAUGUUUCUGCUGGACGACGCAGGGAGGAGAUCCGGUUGGGCAAGCGUCCUGGCAUCGUCUCCACGGCCCUUUCUCGAUCUCCAAUUCUCCAUCGAAGUUGUGCUUUCUGUCCUUUUUCACGCACCACGAUCAAGCCAUGCGGGGAGCGCAACCGUCGAAGGCGAGCAGGUGAGGUUGAUCUUGACGGCGUCCUACUGCUCGCCGGCAAGACCGUCCCAUGGGGAGCGCCGCCUGUCUCUCCUCAGGCACGCAGCCUAUCCACUCCAGCGCCGGUUCCUCGUGCCUUUGGCGUCAUCGGGGCAUCACCGCCUCUCCCUAUGCCUCUUGCAUCAGGAGGGGCGGUGGUACGGUUUGGCUUUGGAAGCUGGCCAUCAAAUCCUGUUGUACAGUGUUGCUGAGAUGCAACACAAAAAUUUGAGUGGCGGUCUCAUGGUGGCCGUAGGGCCUCGACCUGCUCUUCGAUCCUUUUCUCUUUUCUUUCCUCCGAGAUGGAAUUGUGCUCCGUUCGCCACAUCCCCGAGCAUGCACCGCCAUGGUCGGAUCCUAGCGGCCUGCGGCCUUCCUUGGCGACAGGUGUCACGGUCCAUGGCGUUGGUGGAGGAGACGAUCGACACGGCGGGCAGCUACAACACGAAAUCCUGUAUGUUGAGAGCCUGGCCGUGA
rnacentral:rRNA from 1 species